AGCUUUGCGCAGUGGCAGUAUCAUAGCCAAUGAGGUUUAUCCGAGGCGUGAUUAUUGCUAAUUAAACUUUAUCAAAUUCCUUUAUGGCACUUACUGAGAUGAUCAUAUUAAUUUUUCUAUUAAUGUGAUUGUACA
ensembl:snRNA U4 U4 spliceosomal RNA